UACGGAGGGUGCAAGCGUUAAUCGGAAUUACUGGGCGUAAAGCACACGCAGGUGGCUGAGAAAGUCGAUUGUGAAAGCCCUGGGCUUAACCUGGGAAUUGCAGUCGAAACUACUCGGCUAGAGUAUGGGAGAGGGUAGUGGAAUUCCCGGUGUAGCGGUGAAAUGACGUAGAUAUCGGGAGGAACACCAGUGGCGCAAGCGGCUAACUGGACAGAUACUGACGCUGAGACACGAAAGCGUGGGGAGCAAAACAGG
rnacentral:rRNA from 1 species